GACUAAGCGGUUGCCUACAGCGACAACAUUAAGGGCAGUAGAAUUGUGAAAAUUCUAAUUGUCAAUGUCGUGAGCCUACUGACAGAAUUUUUUUUUGGACUGGAUAAAAAAAUCGGAGGAGCAAAUAAAAAUACAUGCCCGAGCAAAAUUUGAACUGUUUUAUUUUAUUUUUCGAUUUUUGACGAAGUUUUAAAAAUUCAAAAUAUGUAAUUUGUUUCUUUGAAAAAAAAAUCAGAAUUUAAUAAAAUUGAGGUAGGAAGCAAAAACUUGUCCAUGUUUUGUUUCCGAUCUCCCACAUUGAUUAGUGAGGGGCUUUGAGUAUUUUUUGGUUUCCGUUUUGAGAAAAAUUCACACAAAAAGAGCGCAGGAAAAUUGAAGAUGUCAAAAAUCAUACUUGGAUAAAAACAAAACAGAUAUCAGCUUUCUACCUAAACUUUAUCGAUUUUUUUUUGAAUGUAGAUAAUAAAUGUAGGCACAUACAACAGUACAAGUGCCUAUGUAAGUUUUCUUUUUCAAAAUUUAACGGCCGGAUAGUUUUACAAUGACUAUGAAUUAUGAUGGAUUGCGAAAAAAAAGUCGCACGAUUUUUACCAAAUUUAGUUGAAAGUCAUUCAGAAAAAAUAUUUGCUCCGGAGGUUUAUCUGACGGGAAAAUACGAGCUUUCAAAGAAGGAGCAUUUUUGAAUAAACAAAAUCGUAGCAUUUUCGCUCUAGCUCCUACUCAAUCUGUUUGGAAAAAUUGACCUUUUUUUUGAUUCUGCGUAAUCAAAAUUCAAAACCACUAGUAGGGUUCUACUGAGCAAUUGAAAACUCUCAAAUUGCUUCAUUUUUGGGCAAAUUCGUGUUCUGAAAAUAUUCUCUUUUCAAUAUUUCGCAUCAACUACGCCAAACCAUAUCGAAAGAUAUCAUUUCUGAAACCGAGGAAUUAUUUUCGAAUACAGAAGUGGAAAGUUUUUGGUCAUUAUUGCCAAUUUAAAAAAAAUCGAGAAAAAAUUAUGUAAAAUUUACUGAAUUUUUUUAAAUUUUCGGAUGAUUAGUGGGAAACAAAUUUCUAGAAAAUAACUGUAUGUUCACAUAUCUACAUGGGUUUUUGUUCGUUUUUUCUUUCAUUUUGUACAGAAAUAAGAUGAUUUUUCUUUGCACUUUCUAAAAAUUGAAAAAAAAAUCAUUCUAGUUUGGCACAAAACACAAAAACAGUGAUCCAUAAAACCACAUGUUGUAAGUAUAUCCUACUUAAUGCAUUCACACCUACCAACCAUUCAUUCGGAUAGCCAUUAAUUUAAAAAUUCUUAUUUUAGUGCAAAGGUAGAGAAAAUCUGCCAACGCGGAGGCGUGGGAGACUUCAAAUAAAUUCAUGCCGCAGAGAUACAACGAUCACACUGACUGAAGAAACUGAACCCCCAAAAUGCAGCGCCAUCGGUGAAAGAUGCAAAGAAGUUCCUCUCCCAUAAAGGAAUAAAUAACAAAAAUUCGAUCUCAGUGGUCAUCGGCCGACUUUUUAAAAACAUUUUCUCUGAUAAUCUGAAAGCCAUUAGCAGAUUUCCCAAGUGCUUUUGAAAAAAAAGAAACUUCGGAUUGCGGCCGGUCAACUACCACCACUACUACUAAUGUACUACCUUUUCAGGGGCAAAAGAGUACUACAUCACUGUCAUCACGUUCCAGGAUCGUCAUUUUCUGCAGUCUCGCAUUCCAGCACUGGAUUUAAUCCGGCAGCCAGCUCCACCUUCCUCGCACCCAACCAGAGCGAAGGUGGCAGCAAAAAGUUUGAAUUUAGGCUAUCCCAUGGGGCUAUAAUAUGGCCAAAGACUACAUCCGAAAGCACGGCCACUAAAAAUUUUUUACGAUCGAAAAUAUUUCGAAAAAACCACAGGUCGUAUAGUUCUCAAAUUAACAGAUUCGCGUUUUUUUGGAACAAACAGUCGUUAAUUUCGAUCAUUUUCUUAUGUUCAAUUUUAGCAGUAAGAAGUCUUCAUUUGCUUUCCACAUUGAAACAACUUGUAACUUACAAUAAUUUUUAUAACACAAGAGACAAAUUCUCGCAGAAUGUCAUCUGCUGUUCUCUCGAGCCAUUUUUCAAAUGGUUCAUUCAACCUUUGAAGGCCCAGAUGAAUCCUGAAAUGCGAUGUAAAAAUGCUUUCGAUUUCUUGAAUUAGAUCAACACAAGUAUCACUUUGAUUCACAGUUCGCUCCCCAGCCCCUUAAAACCAUUUCGGAAAUGAUACUUAUUUAUUUGAUUAUCCUCCAAAUCCGACAAGCCAAAAAAUCUAAUUGGGCUAAUUUUGCAACAGUUUGAUAUGAUUUCAUUAGAAGUAAUGAGUGAGUGAAAGCAUACUUCGGAUGAACACCACAUCCUUAUACAGUUGCAAAAUCAACCCUAUUUGAUUUUUUGCCUGGUUAGAUUUGGAGAGUAAUCAAAUAAAUCCGUCCAUCAUUUCCGAAAUGGCUUCAAGGGGCUAGGGAGUGAACAUUGAAUCAAAGUGAUACUUGUGUUAAUCUAAUCCAAGAAAUCUAAAGCAUUUUUACAUCGCAUUUCAGGAUUCACCCAGGCCUUUUAAAAGGGUCCCUCACGCAACAAAUAAUAAAAAUUGAAGCAUUCGAAAAUUCCAAAAAAAAUUUCACCAAACCCUUUUUUCCAAUUUUCAAAAUUAAUUUAAGUCUUUCAUUCUCGCAAGACACCAUCUUUCAUCAAAACAUAGGUGUAUUUCGAGACUUCAAAAGAGAAGAAAACGCAAUCUUAAGUACAUCGGACACAUUUUGAGAUUUAUUAGAUUCUUUUCGCGUUCUUCUUUUUUCCUAUACAUAGGAAGAUUUAUUUCAACUAAAGUGAUACGUGUAACAGGAAAUUGUUUUUAAUGUAAUUUCGUCUGGUAUUCUCGUAUACUUCCACUUUACACCGAUAUUUUUCCAUUCUUCGCGGUGCUGUGUUGUUUGGGCGCGUCUGGCGUUCACUAUUUCCACUUCGCGUCGCGUCGACUUGUAUACUAUAGAUACAUAAGCCAAGCCAAGCCAACACUGGUGGAAUGAAGGAAAAGGAUAGAGAAUAUGUCAAACGAAGCGAAAAUUAUUAUGCAUUAAACGAAUCCACAAGUUUUCGUUCAACAUUAGGUACUUUAAUAUCCAAUGCAGCGUAGUGUAAAAGACAGAAGAUGUAAGAAAGAAAGAGUAAGCCAACGGGGUAAGAUCGAGAAAAAUGGAACGAGAAGGGUGAAGCAGUCAAUACUUUGCUCUUCGUCUAUAGCUACGUACUGAAAGAUGAUGCAGAGAACACGCCUAAGAUUACGACGACACGCUUCAUUUCCCGCCAAUUCUUUUCUCGUUAUCUGCUUGUUCAUUUCUCACGAUAUAUUUCAUUUUUCGAUUGGUAAAAGAUUGUUACGCCUAAAUGGCGUGUAGCAUCUUGGACAAGCCACAACAACCGCCGAUGUCCAGCAAUUAAGGUAGCCACUUGGAGUCCCAAGGUUGUACCUGUGUAUACCUAUACACCUUGUGUUGAUAUCUGUAAUUCAUUUGCGCGCACAGCACCUCCACCGCUACCGCCACACCGGUAGGAAUGAUUUAGUGAUGGUUUUCAUGUGUCAGGUACAAGUCAAGUACUCGAAGCAAGAAGUGUAUUGGUAAAUUAGCGGAGACACAGGCCACCAAUCCGAUAAAUACCGCAGAGUUUGGGUACUUUACGCGUCAUCUAUCGCGUCCUCUUCGUCGUUUCAUUAUCGAGCUGUACUUACGGAUUGGAUAUCCAAACCCGUGGGUAAUUAUCUAGGUGACUCUUUCCAAGAACGUAAGACUCGUAUACAGGAGGAGAAGACGAAGAGGUUGGUAUUUGAACCGUUGGUUUGCGGUCUCAUGUUACACGAUACGUGAUGCGGUCUGAGGUAAUAAUUAGAUUACCUCGCCGAAGAUUCCCUCUUCCUUGUUUUUAUCCUUUAGUCGAUUAUUUCUUUGUUUUUAAUAAAGUACGUCGCGCGUUGUAAUACGGUAAACAAUAAACAUAGAUCAUGACUCGG